rnacentral:rRNA from 1 species
CCUACGGGGUGCAGCAGUCGAGAAUCAUUCACAAUGGGGGAAACCCUGAUGGUGCGACGCAGCGUGGGGGAAUGAAGGUCUUCGGAUUGUAAACCCCUGUCAUGUGGGAGCAAAUGAAAAAGAUAGUACCACAAGAGGAAGAGACGGCUAAUUCUGUGCCAGCAGCCGCGGUAAUACAGAGGUCUCAAGCGUUGUUCGGAAUCACUGGGCUUAAAGCGUGCGUAGGCUGUUUCGUAAGUCGUGUGUGAAAGGCGCGGGCUCAACCCGCGGACGGCACAUGAUACUGCGAGACUAGAGUAAUGAAGGGGGAACCGGAAUUCUCGGUGUAGCAGUGAAAUGCGUAGAUAGCGAGAGGAACACUCGUGGCGAAGGCGGGUUCCUGGACAUUAACUGACGCUGAGGCACGAAGGCCAGGGGAGCGAAAGGGAUUAGAUACCCUUGUAGUC